rnacentral:tRNA from 1 species
GCGCACGUGGCCGGAGUGGUUAUCGGGCAUGACUAGAAAUCAUGGGCUUUGCCCGCGCAGGUUCGAAUCCUGCCGUCCACG